rnacentral:rRNA from 1 species
UACAGAGGUCUCAAGCGUUGUUCGGAUUCAUUGGGCGUAAAGGGUGCGUAGGCGGCGCGGUAAGUCGGAUGUGAAAUCUCGGAGCUUAACUUCGAAACUGCAUUCGGUACUGCCGUGCUUGAGGACUGGAGAGGAGACUGGAAUUUACGGUGUAGCGGUGAAAUGCGUAGAUAUCGUAAGGAAGACCAGUGGCGAAGGCGGGUCUCUGGACAGUUCCUGACGCUGAGGCACGAAGGUCAGGGGAGCAAACGGG